rnacentral:lncRNA from 1 species
AUUUAUUCAUCCCUGGUAGCGGUUCCAGGAAAGCGGUUCCACGAGAAAAAGGAACCCCUUUCUAAUAGAGCCAGCUGACCAAGGCAUUAGGAGGGCAAGGACUUUGGACGCCUCUCUCCAGCAAGCUGGAGCCAGAGCCAGAGUUAACUGGCCCCCUGAGCCCCCUGUAAGGGGCAGUGGCCAGGCUUGGAGUUGGCGAGGGUGCCCUGGCUAGAAAAUGGAGAUGUAAAGUGUGCCCUUUUCCUGUGGCUCUGAAAGAGGGACCAGAAUCAAGGGGCUCUGGGGCCGUCCAAGAGCAAAGAUGGUCCCACACUGGAUUAGAGAAUUCCCAGAGCAAUCCUACCCUCUUCCCCGCCCCCACUGCUCUUGUCCCGCAGCAGAGGACCCUGCCAAGGUGAUGAGAACCUCCUUGUUAGAGGUCUUGGGAUAUGAACACCCUCCUCUCACCAGCAUGCUGGAAAGGAGACUCACAGGUUCUGAGCACUGUGUGUCAGGCCCUUCGCAUGUGUGACUACUUCAUCUGUCAUCCUGUGAGGUUAAAUGAGGUCAUAAGAGUGGGGCUCUAAUCCCAUAAGACUGGUGUCCUUAUAACUAGAGGAAGAGACGCCAGGAUGUACAUGCACCGAUAAAAUGCCAUGUGAAGACAGAGUGAGAAGGCGGCCGUCUGCAAGCCAAGAAGAGAGGGCUCACCAGAAACCAGACCUGCCAACCUUGAUGUUUGACUUCCAGCCUCUAGAACUGUGAAAAUAUAAAUUUCUGUUUAAGCCACCCCAUUUGUGGUAUUUUGUUCUGGCAGCCCUAGCUGACUAAUACAGAGGCUGCAUGGGGAGCCUGGACCUCUAACCCCUGCCUUGCCAUAAUGAGGCAGCACCUCCUCUCCUCUGCUGGACUGGCGUCAGAGGAAGCCAGCUAAAACAAAAGUUUUAAAUAAGAUCUAGAGUCUCAUAAGAUAAUACCUAAAAUGCCCAGGUUUCAAUAGAAAAUCACUUGUCAUUCCAGAGCAAGGAAGAUCUCACACUGAAUGAAAAAAGAAAUGAAUAGAUGCCAACCUCAAGAUGACAGAGGUGUGAGAAUUAUCUGAGGAAGAUUUUAAAGCAACCAUCAUAAAAUUCUUCACUAAGCACUUGCGAACACACUUGAAACAAAUGAAAAAAGACAAAGUCUCAGGAAAGAAAUACAAGAUAUAAAGAAGAACCAAAUGGAAAUUUUAGAACUGAAAAAUACAAUAACUAAAAUUAAAAACUCUGUGGAUGUGCUCAACGGCAGAAUGGAGGGGGACAGAAGAAAGAAUCCAUGGACUGGAAACUAGAACAUGAAAAAUUACCCAAUCUGAACAACAGAGAGAAAAUAGACUGAAAAAAACGGUGAACAGAGCCUCAGAGACCUAUGGGACUAUAACAAAAGAUCUAAUAAUGGUGUCAUUGGCAUCUAAGGGGAGAAGCACAUGUGGGAUGGGAUAUAUUGUGAUGGCCAUCCUUGGAAAAUAUAAUUGCCUAUAUCCAUGUUGAUGCACGGAGCUAUAGUUUUCUAUUUCACUUCAAUAUCCUGUUGUGUGAUUGAACCACAAUUGAUUUAGUCAUUCUAAUGUAAUGGACAUUUGGGUUGUUUCCAUUUUUUUGCUAUUAUAAAUAGUGCUCUGGAAGUAUUCUGUUCAUGUCUCCAGGAUUUAUAAAUGAUAGCAAUUUACUGAAUUCCAGGAGUGGAAUUACUGGACUACUAAGUAUAUGAAUGUUCACCUUCAACAAAUAAUGCGAAAUUGUUCUUGGAUGUGAAUAUACUAAUUUCUAGCCCCAUAGCAAUUUACAUUUCACCAGGAUUUUGUCAAUCUUUUAAUUUUUUUCGAAAUUAGUGGGCAUGAAAUGGUAAUUUGUGGUUCUAUUUGCAUUUCCCUUUUUACUAACAAGAUUGAGUAUAUUUUCAUAAAUUUAAUGGGUCAUUUGUGUUUUCUCUUCUGUGAAAUGCCUGUUCACGUUUUUGAAAUUUUUUUUAUUGUAUUAUUUGUCCCCCUAAUUGAUUUAUAGGAUCUGGCUAGUAAUCUUUUGUUUGUUUGUUUUUAUGUGUGAAAAAUUCUGUUAGGAUUUUAUUGGAAUAGUAAUAAUGCUAUAGAUGAAUUUUGGGAGAAAUACAAUUUUACAGUAUUGAAUCUUUCUAUCCAUGAACAUGGUGUUGCUCUCCAUUUGGUUUUCUUAUUGCCUUUUAAUAAGGUGCUAUAUUUUUCUACAUAAAGAUUUUGCAUAUCUUGUGGUAGAUUUCUUUUCAACUACCUUAUAUUUUUCAUUGCUAUUGUAAAUUUUUAAAUUGCAUUUCUAACUUUAUUGCUGGUGUUUAUAAAU